rnacentral:rRNA from 1 species
AAAUUGAAGAGUUUGAUCAUGGCUCAGAUUGAACGCUGGCGGCAGGCCUAACACAUGCAAGUCGAACGGUAACAGGAAGCAGCUUGCUGCUUUGCUGACGAGUGGCGGACGGGUGAGUAAUGUCUGGGAAACUGCCUGAUGGAGGGGGAUAACUACUGGAAACGGUAGCUAAUACCGCAUAACGUCGCAAGACCAAAGAGGGGGACCUUAGGGCCUCUUGCCAUCGGAUGUGCCCAGAUGGGAUUAGCU